rnacentral:rRNA from 1 species
UACGAAGGGAGCUAGCGUUGUUCGGAAUCACUGGGCGUAAAGCGCACGUAGGCGGAUGUGUCAGUCAGGGGUGAAAUCCCGGAGCUCAACUUCGGAACUGCCCUUGAUACAGCACGUCUUGAGUCCGGAAGAGGUGGGUGGAAUUCCUAGUGUAGAGGUGAAAUUCGUAGAUAUUAGGAAGAACACCGGUGGCGAAGGCGGCCCACUGGUCCGGUACUGACGCUGAGGUGCGAAAGCGUGGGGAUCAAACAGG